rnacentral:rRNA from 1 species
UACGUAGGAGGCGAGCGUUGUCCGGAAUUACUGGGCGUAAAGAGCUCGUAGGCGGCCUGUUGCGUCCGCUGUGAAAGCCCGGGGCUUAACCCCGGGUCGGCAGUGGAUACGGGCAGGCUAGAGGUAGGUAGGGGAGAAUGGAAUUCCCGGUGUAGCGGUGAAAUGCGCAGAUAUCGGGAGGAACACCGGUGGCGAAGGCGGGUCUCUGGGCCGUUACUGACGCUGAGGAGCGAAAGCGUGGGGAGCGAACAGG